rnacentral:rRNA from 1 species
CCUACGGGAGGCAGCAGUGGGGAAUAUUGCACAAUGGGGGAAACCCUGAUGCAGCGACGCCGCGUGAGUGAAGAAGUAUUUCGGUACGUAAAGCUCUAUCAGCAGGGAAGAAAAUUACGGUACCUGACUAAGAAGCCCCGGCUAACUACGUGCCAGCAGCCGCGGUAAUACGUAGGGGGCAAGCGUUAUCCGGAUUUACUGGGUGUAAAGGGAGCGUAGACGGCAGCGCAAGUCUGGAGUGAAAUCCCAUGGCUUAACCAUGGAACUGCUUUGGAAACUGUGCAGCUAGAGUGCAGGAGAGGUAAGCGGAAUUCCUAGUGUAGCGGUGAAAUGCGUAGAUAUUAGGAGGAACACCAGUGGCGAAGGCGGCUUACUGGACUGUAACUGACGUUGAGGCUCGAAAGCGUGGGGAGCAAACAGGAUUAGAUACCCGAGUAGUC